rnacentral:rRNA from 1 species
UACGGGGGGAGCAAGCGUUGUUCGGAUUUACUGGGCGUAAAGGGCGCGUAGGCGGCCAGCACAAGUCAGUUGUGAAAUCUCCGAGCUUAACUCGGAGAGGUCAACUGAUACUGUGCGGCUAGAGUGCGGAAGGGGCAACUGGAAUUCUUGGUGUAGCGGUGAAAUGCGUAGAUAUCAAGAGGAACACCUGCGGCGAAGGCGGGUUGCUGGGCCGACACUGACGCUGGAGGCGCGGAAAGCCCAGGGGAGCGAACGGG